rnacentral:siRNA from 1 species
ACAUACAAAUAGAGUUGGUCCACA